GGAAAGAAAGGAAGAAUGAGACCACACGGGCUCAAGAUGCAAAGCUCACCAACAGCAUAUGAGAACACGUGUAGCUCAUAUUACAGUUUUUCUCCUCUCAAAAACAAAAUACCGUUCUGUUCUCCAAUGCUAGGAAAGAUUACUACUGACCAAAAGAAAUCAAGCAGGUAAUGACAAAGGUAGAGAGUUAUCUUCUGAAGAAGAAAACUUUCUACAGAAAGUUACUCUUAGAACAAGAUGGGAUCCGGUGGUAGGAUUGCUCAGUGCUUUGCUGACAAGCCCAACAACCUGAGUUUUCUUCCCAGACACCCAUGGUGGAAGGAGACAGGUGACUCCCACAAGUUGUCCUAUGGCCUCCACAGUCUCACCAUGACAUACUCAUCAGCACUAGUUCCCAUCAUAAUGGAUGCCAUACAGUAUGUGCCAACUACUUCCUAAUAUGACUGACUAUAAAGAGAUCACUCUACUGCUCCAUACAUAAAUGUAAGGGAAUCUCAGUCUAUAAUAAAAUAUUACUGUUCUUAACAUAGUAACACAGAAGCAAAAAACUAGACUUAAACCCUGAAGAGCAGCAUUUGUAUAACAGGUUUGCCACCCUUGCAGUACCCCCCUCCUUCAUGUGGGCCUGCGUGUUACCAGCGAGUUUCCCGACUGGUAUUGCAAACUGGGCGUGGAGAGGUGGCAUCAGCUGCCAGGAGAGCAUCUAUAGCUCUGUGUACCUUCAGCCAUUUAAAAAGUGCUCUGAUGGUUCUGUAAACCGACUAAAGGAUGCUUUCCUUCCAGGCAAGGUGGUUUCCCAAGUUUCAAUACCUGCUUAGACUGGUUCUGCAUAACAAAUAUAUAGCAAUAAAAGAAGAGUAUUAGGAGAAGGUAUUAUUUUACUAUGUAUAUAAGAUACGGUCAACAAUGUUUAUAAAGUUUGAAAUAAAAUGAUACCACUAAGAGUUUCCAGCCUAAGAGCAAAAUCAAAUUAACAAGUAGAGAUUGCUAUAAAACACAAAUAAUACCAAGUGAGAGCCCUGUUCAGAUCAGCCAGCAAAGAUCUAAAGGAAGCAUGGCUUAAAUGAGGUAACAAUGGUUUGGCAGAUGGAGGAACACCCAGGAUCUUCAAAAAAAAAAA
rnacentral:sRNA from 1 species